GACGAACGCUGGCGGCGUGCUUAACACAUGCAAGUCGAACGAUGAAGCUGGAGCUUGCUCUGGUGGAUUAGUGGCGAACGGGUGAGUAACACGUGAGUAACCUGCCCUGGACUCUGGGAUAACCCCGAGAAAUCGGAGCUAAUACCGGAUAGGACCUCGGAUCGCAUGAUCUGGGGUGGAAAGUUUUUCGGUCUGGGGUGGACUCGCGGCCUAUCAGCUUGUUGGUGAGGUAAUGGCUCACCAAGGCGUCGACGGGUAGCCGGCCUGAGAGGGUGACCGGCCACACUGGGACUGAGACACGGCCCAGACUCCUACGGGAGGCAGCAGUGGGGAAUAUUGCACAAUGGGCGCAAGCCUGAUGCAGCAACGCCGCGUGCGGGAUGACGGCCUUCGGGUUGUAAACCGCUUUUAGUAAGGAAGAAGCCGCAAGGUGACGGUACUUGCAGAAAAAGGACCGGCUAACUACGUGCCAGCCGCCGCAGUAAUAC
rnacentral:rRNA from 1 species